UCACUAACAUAUUAUUAACAAAUUAGUGGUGGGGAUUUCGUCAGUGACUCGAAUCGUUUGAAUUGGUUCACUGAAAAGAUUCACUUAGAUUGGUUUACUCAUUCGUUCACAGAACAUUUGUGCAGGUUGUUUGUGUUUGUUAUGAGAGAUUCGGGAAUCAUUUAUGCAAGGUGAAUGGAAAAACUGGGUUUACAGACAGAAAUGGAAUGCAUAGACAUCAGGAGUACCUGACAAACGGUGAUAAUAAAGGUCUCAUGUGUUGUUAGAUGGGGGGAGGAGCCAGUAACGCGAGGUGUUCUUAUACAUCCAUCUUCACUGUGACAUAGAGAACAGAUAGAUGGAAGCCGAAAGCUCUUUGUCACAGUUUGUG